UGAGAUUUCAAUACAUUUCUAAAUUUUCGUGUACAAAAAAAUUUUCCGUCAAAAUAAUCUGCAGCCAAUGUCUCGAUAAUUUCAACUUAUGGUUUUACCAACUUAGCAACCUCUGAGGAGAGGGCUCCUGCCGACCCAAGCAUGGCCUUGAGCGAAACGGAUUGCCUAAACUCUUGGAGCAAUCAAAGACACCACGAGUGGACUAGGGGCAGAUGGAGAACGAUCAGAGGCUGAGUUCUCCCAACGAAUGGGAGGAUAUUGAUGCAAUUAUCCAUGAAUCCGAAGCAAUGAUAUCAACUACACCUCAGGAUGGUGCAGAUAUUCAAAUUAAUUUGCAUUCCUCCAAAGCAUCAUCCAUUGAUCUCAUUCUGCGCUUCUGCGCUUCUAGGUUUACCUUUUUGUAUCUUUUGAUCCCACCAUAAGAACGCAAUCAAUGGCUGCGUACAGAAAUAAGAAUAAUAUUAACUGCACAAUCUCUAGGACAGUUGUGGCAGUAUCCUCAGCCCAAAGUUCCGCUUAUCAUCAAGAAGCGAUGGCAGCUAGCACAAGAUCUGUUUUUUAGUGGGGUUAGAUUUGUUGUCGAAAAGUGAUGAUGCAGUAGAUGUUUCCAAAGUCUGUAAAAAAACUUUUGUCCAUUCCAAUAGGAAAGAAAAAAUCCAAAUAGUGGAAUAAUGAAAUCUCUGAGCUAAAACAAAGUAUCCAAAAAAAAGAUUGCCACAAAACUUUCAAAAUGUUUGUAAGGAAAAAAAGAGAAUCUUCGAAACUCCUCUGAUAUAACAUUGAUGUAAGAUUGAAAAGAAACAGACCAAGUAAAGUGCUCUUCAGGAGAACUAUAAACACCCACUUUCUGGGAUCCUCCACAUGCUACAACGAAUUGCUUUGGGAUAACGAGUAUAUUUAAAUUCUGAUGUCAGUGGCAUCGUAUGCAGCUAAAGAGUAGUGUGGUACAGAUGACGGAUGACAUCAUAGCUAUUCUAUUAAAAUCUCAAAACUCUGACUGCAAGGAGGCUAACGCAAUAUUUACCAAAAAAGGAGGCAGAGCCAACAACCCAAAAUUUUUGAAAGGCUUCUCGACAGCUGUAUGCGUGAUUUUAGAAGACUAACAUGACUUCCAUAUGAAUGUUAGAGACGAAUAUGAACAACAGCAUAUAAGCGUAGAUAGUGAUCCGAGUCGUUGUUAGGUCCUCGAAACGUAUGUAUGCUCAUCUGAAGAAGUAUCGUCUGUCUAUUAUGACCGAUUUGGUUGAGAGUUUUUCGUUCUGGGGGCAGCCAAGUAGCUUGAUGAAUUUACUUGUCCUGUAAUCUACUGCUACAGACAACAAUAUUUCAGGCUCGGCGAAUCAAUUUGGGGAUGUUUAGUCAUGGGUGCUGAAUUUUCCUACUGUUAUGCCAAUACCUUUUUUGCUCGCCAAGCACAAUUUCGACCAGAUAUUUAUUCAGCGGAGAAAAUUUAAUAUGAAUUCACAUUUUCUGUCUGCAAUACAAUUGCGGAGCUCGUUAACAAUAGGGUGUCCCACGUCCGAUGUUUAUGUUAUUUUUCGUUAGAGUUAAGAUUUCAGAUGAUUUCACAUUCUCGCUUUAGAUCGCCUAAAAACGGAUGCUUGUUGACUACCCAGAAAACAUUCGGCUUCUUGCGGCUGAUUGAAGCAUCAUUAUUGCCCACAAUUUUUCUCAGUCGCUUGGCUUCAUGGGCGCCAAUUGAUUAUUAUGAAUAAUAAUUUGAAAUAAACUUGUAUGAGUAACAUUUUCUGAAAAAUUAAAAAACUUGAAGAUUUGAUAUUAAGAAAACGUGUCAGAACCAUGUGACUAUAUUUAGACUCUCCUGGACCCUCCCUUCCUCAUGUAGCCUAACGCAUCUUUCCCAUGUACGGGGCAGUUUAUUUAUUA
rnacentral:lncRNA from 1 species